GGAUAACUGCUGCGCACCUCCAGGUACUCGCGGGCCCUGCUGCAUCCAGCAGGGACAGGGACAGAGCCGGUGCCGUGCUGGGCACUGGGGCUGGGGGCUGCUGCUGACGCCCCCCUCUGCUCCCCCCCAGACCAUGCUGCUGGAGAGGGGCCGAGUCGCCCGGCAGCCCCUCGGGGAGAGCAACUUCAACGUCUUCCCUCUGAUGCUGGCGGGCCUGGAUGCGGCGCAGAGGACCACGCUGCAUUUGCACCAGGUGGCUGAGAGCAACUUAUUUGGGAUCAAGCCGUUCUCAAAGGUAGGGAGCAAUGACAGAGCCUCCUGUCCCCCUGCUCGCGUCCCUCUGCAUCCAGCUGCUGGGUCGCCCCUGCAGCUCUCCAGGGCGUGCUGGCUGCUGAGUCCCUGCUCAGAAUACUACUUUUAGGGGCUAAAAAGGUGGCGUUUGGUUUCCAGAACCAGCUCCUUAUUAGUCUGAGCUGUUUGCAAGGUCCUCACGCUGCUGGUGCCACAGGAACGCAGGCAGAUUUGGGUUCAGAGAUGGGGUUUUACACCAUCCUCUGAAACAGCAGCCCCUUGGCCACUGUUCCCUGUCCCCCCACGGCACACACAUGUCCCUGGGCAGCCAGGCUCGGCCGUGUGGCUUGGGAAGGGCUCAGAGCAUCCUGCGCCAGGGCGAGCAGAUGGCACCUUGGGGCUGCCUGGCCGAGAGCCUGGUCCCUUCCCGGGGCAGGGUCACCUUGGCUGGUGCUGGCGGGGUCAUUCCGGCACAAGGGAAGGACAGUUUUAGGUUGGAAUACAUUGCCUUGAAAUGCCAUUUUCCUUUCUGAUCUCUGCUCUGGAUUUUUAAACUGGAAACCUAAUUGGUGGCUUCCCAGCCUUUGUCCUCGUGGCUUCCGGGGAUAACUGCACCGACUGAUCCCCUGCCAUGACACGGGUGUCUCAAGUACCUGGGGUGUUUGAGUCUGGAGAAAUCAUGGGUUCAGCUGGGUUCCCUCAUUAGCAGCCACCUCCUGGGCCCCUGCAGGAGGAGGAAUCCUUUGGAUGAGGCGGGCUGGCUGUGCCAAGGGGGGGACGCUGCCAGCCCCGUGUGCUGUGCCUCGCCUCGGGGCUGGGUGUCUGCAGCGACAGCCCUCAGCUUAGGGGGAAAAAGCCUGCUCUUGCUGAGGGGCUGCACCUGCAAGAAAUAAAAAAUGAAAAAAUCAUAUUAG
rnacentral:lncRNA from 1 species